rnacentral:tRNA from 1 species
GGGCCCGUAGCUCAAUGGUAGAGCACCGGACUCAUAAUCCGUUGGUUGUAGGUUCGACUCCUACCGGGCCCACCU